rnacentral:rRNA from 1 species
GACGGAGGAUGCAAGUGUUAUCCGGAAUCACUGGGCGUAAAGCGUCUGUAGGUGGUUUAAAAAGUCCACUGUUAAAGGUUGAAGCUUAACUUCAAAAAUGCUGUGGAAACUUUUAAACUAGAGUAUGGUAGGGGUAGAGGGAAUUUCCAGUGGAGCGGUGGAAUGCGUAGAUAUUGGAAAGACCACCAAUGGCGAAGGCACUCUACUGGGCCAUUACUGACACUGAGAGACGAAAGCUAGGGGGAGCGAAUGGG